rnacentral:misc_RNA from 1 species
AACGCAUCUUGCGCUCCUUGGUAUUCCGAGGAGCAUGCCUGUUUGAGUGUCAUUAAAUUCUCAACUCUCUUAUACUGCUUUGUUCGUAUAGGAGAGCUUGGACUGUGGAGGUUUGCUGGCCGCUUGAUUGAGGUCAGCUCCUCUGAAAUGCAUUAGCGGAACCGUUUGCGAUCUGCCACAAGUGUGAUAAGUUAUCUACACUAGCGAGGGGAUUGCUCUCUGUGUCAUUCUGCUUCUAAUUGUCUCUUUGUGAGACUACUACUUGAAUACUUGACCUCAAAUCAGGUAGGACUACCCGCUGAACUUAA